CCCGCCACCCCAACCAAACCCCGGGCCCAGGCCCCCCCAGGGAUUCAAAACCGAAAGGAUAGGGAACGGGCGGCCCGUCGAGUGCCGGAGACGGAUCUCUCGCGGGCGGCCCCUUCUCGUUCGGAAACAAAACGACUCUCGGCAACGGAUAUCUCGGCUCUCGCAUCGAUGAAGAACGUAGCGAAAUGCGAUACUUGGUGUGAAUUGCAGAAUCCCGUGAACCAUCGAGUCUUUGAACGCAAGUUGCGCCCGAAGCCUUCGGGCCGAGGGCACGCCUGCCUGGGUGUCAUGCAUCGUCGCCCACCCCAUUAUUGGGGCGGGCGGAAAAUGGUUUUCCGUUCGCUUCCGCUUCCGGGUGGCCCAAAUUCCAGGUGUUUGGCGCCGGUUGCGGCCCCG
rnacentral:rRNA from 1 species